rnacentral:RNase_P_RNA from 4 species
GAAGCUGACCAGACAGUCGCCGCUUCGUCGUCGUCCUCUUCGGGGGAGACGGGCGGAGGGGAGGAAAGUCCGGGCUCCAUAGGGCAGGGUGCCAGGUAACGCCUGGGAGGCGCAAGCCUACGACCAGUGCAACAGAGAGCAAACCGCCGAUGGCCCACGCAAGUGGGAUCAGGUAAGGGUGAAAGGGUGCGGUAAGAGCGCACCGCGCGGCUGGUAACAGUUCGUGGCACGGUAAACUCCACCCGGAGCAAGGCCAAAUAGGGGUUCACAAGGUACGGCCCGUACUGAACCCGGGUAGGCUGCUUGAGCCAGUGAGCGAUUGCUGGCCUAGAUGAAUGACUGUCCACGACAGAACCCGGCUUAACGGUCAGCUUCAACU